rnacentral:lncRNA from 1 species
UUUCAGUGUGCCCCCAUAUAAAAACCAUGCCCAUAGUCGGCCGAGGCCGGGGAUAAAUCCGCAGCGACGACGAAAAAACAGGCUUUCACAUGAUAUAAUUCACAUACAAAGAACAGAGUAGAUGCAGAGAGAAGCAGGUUGCUGGUCUAUGCAGAGCAGAAACAAGCAUAUCAUGUCACUCACAUUGUAGUACAGUGUCUACAGGGCCACUCACAUUCACAUGUAAAUCAUACACUUGUACGGCAACCAGUUUUAACUCCACAGUUGAGCGGUGUCGCUCCCAGAUUAGUACACAUCUCUGCCUGCAAAGUUCCGAAGUACUCUACGAUUCUAGGCGACAAGAAGCCACUUCUAGACAGAUUGUUGAUUCAACACCCAGUAGUGGUGAUCUCCACCAAAUGGUGCGGAUGUUGUCGCCGUUAUUGUAUAUGUUUUUUCUCGAGGCCAAUGACUAAGUUCACACCUUCCCUUUCUUCGACUCGUAUGACUGCCUGAUUGCAUCCCAGAACGCAGGCAUCGCCUCGGAGUCAGGAACUUCUUUGAAUGACGGAAGAUAGUUUAGGUCCACUAUGACAUGGUCUCCACUGCCCUCCUGAACCUGCGUAUUCAAAGGCUAUGUUUACAGUUCCGAAGUAGAAUGCGCAACAACAAAAAGAUAAUGGUGACUGUAAGUGUUUCAGACUUCCAGUGGGACGAAGUUACUCUGUUUGUAGCUGUACCGACUACUAAUAGCACAAACCAUACAAGAAUAAAUACUUACAACAACAUCAAAUCCAAAAAUUGUUAGUCCAAGUGAUUCCUUUAACAAUUUUGCAGCCUCUUCCACCACACCGAUGUUCAGAGAUUUGUUAUCAUGUACCCUGUUCAGCAGCAGCUGCUCCUUGGUAGCCACUGGAAGAGUCUUCAAACUGUGAAGCAAAUUCAAAUAAUUUGGUAUGGGAAGUACACUUUAGCAGAUGAAUGAAAAAGACAUCCAACAUCAUGCCGAAAAUAUAUACUUCCAAACUUUACCUAUUAAACGUAAGAGGUUCAUCCCCCGAUGACGAUUUUAGCAAAUUUGCAUUGGGCAUUGAAGUUUUUACAGCAUGAAAAACCUUGUCUCCAAUUACAUAAAAUUUGUAUAUCUUGGACCCGUGAUCAAUGUAUUCCUACAUCACAUAAAUAAAACCUACACAUCAGAAUCUCCCGGUUGUUUCUGAAGAUGAAUCAUCGCAAACGGUAGUUCACAGGUACAGAUCUGCAGAGUGCAUCAAGACUCAACACGGAAUGCCUCAUGAGUGUCAAAAUUGAAGGAAAACACACAAGAUGUGAUUAAUCGUCAAAACAUAUAAUACAUUAAGUGUAUUAUCAAAUAUGCCCAUUUCCUUCCAAGGCACCUGCUAUCAGAGAGGAAAAGGCAGAAAAUUGUACCUGUAGAAUAGCUGGAAGAGGCACACUAAGGUUGCUAAACUCUUCAAUUUGGAAAACUAAUGCCUGCAGACAACGAUUUUUCAUUUAGAUGCAUAAUUCAAAAGAAAGCAAAUAAAAUUCCAAACUGAAAAGGGAUCAAGUAGCACAAUAAGUCAGCAAAACCAUCUUCGUAGGAAUGGUGACAAAAGGAUAUGAUUGGAAAUUAAUAUAAUACCCGAACAUUCAGUUGAUGUAGAACUAAAUACAAAGACAAUAAGCUACCAUAUUGUGCGCAUCAGCGACUCCACAUGCUACUUGUGGCUUCACGAUGAGUGGAAAUGAUAAAUUAGCUUCUGCUAGUUGCUUCUGUAAUUCACUGCCAUUGAAUUUUAUGACCUGCAUUGGAAAAUAGCAAGAAAACUCAAUAGUCAAGACAAAGCCGAUUGUAGACAAUAAAACAAUGCAACAUGCACUGCACAUAAAUGCUCUUCAGAAGUGCAUGAAGACAGGAGUGUUUAAUGAUGGUAGAUGUCAGUAACAUACAGUACAAAAGCCAUGAAGUCAUACUUCUGCAUAAGUGUAAUUCAAAUAAAAAGACCUUCAAAGAAUGUGGUGCUCGGAGUUUGGGCCUUCCUUCAGAGCCAAGUUCUUGCAAUCUAACUAGAAUUUCUUGGAUUUGCAGACGAUCAAGCAACGGGGAAAUAUUUUUGAAUGGAUCAAUGAUGCAAAAAUCAGGGUAUUCUUCCAUAAACCUGCUUAACAAAGAGGAUGAUAGUGAAAACAGAAUGAGUAUAAUACUUCAACAUAUCAACCUAAGAAGUUUCUGUUACAAAUUAUAUAAAGCAAGUUAUCAGAUGGUUGCUACUUGUUGCUAGAAGAUACGAAAGUGAAAAUCCACUAAAUUACUUCUGUAAUCGAUUGUACCUUAUAACUUCAGACAUUCCUGCAGAAAAUGAAAUUCCCCUGGGAAAACUGAUGGAGCAAUUUGGAUCAAUGGUAAUGAUCUCAUCCGUCAUUUUGUGGAGGAUUAUGUCAACUUCUAGAAGUUGAGAGGCUAAAGGAAGUUCAAAUGAGAGUGGGACAAAGAUAAGUCCAUUUUCACUAGGAUAAAUGGGAAAUGCUCCUCUCUGCAAGCAACAUAGGAAUAAUGAUGUUCCAGCAGAGAUCAAAUAUGUACUUAGUAACACAUUAUAGAAAACUUGCCUUGGCAAAGUCUUCCUCACGGGAUGGUUUCAUUGCAUAGCCAACCAUCAAAAUAGAUGAGCUAACUAUUUCCUGGAUGAAAGAACACAUAAUUUCGAAAUUAGUGCACUACAACAUCACAAGAAAUAUGACCAAGUAGACAUGAAUGACAAUUUAACCUUUUUAAUUAAAGUAGCCAAAGUGAUAAGCAGCUCUUGAAGCUUGCCAAUAUUUACAACUCCAGAAUCUUUUGUUCCACAUUCACUAUCUGGAUCAUAAGAAGAAUAUCAAUAGCCCUCAAAGAUAAUAUUAGCACCUCCUUCCAAUAUGUAAAACAGCAUGGGCUACACAGCAGAUAUAUCAUUGAUGAAGUCCUAACGCCAAACAGCUAGUUGGAAACAGCAUGAGAUGGACAAUUAACAUUUCUUCCUGAUUUAUGCUUACCUACAGCAAUAACCUUCCAGUUGUGGCUCUCAAGUUCAGAAAAUAGAUCUUCAUCAACUCUGGAAGUAGCAUAAAAACAAGAACUCGUUCUGCUCCACUCUAACAUCAACUCAUUUAGUAAGUGAUUCCCAGUUGGAGCAGGUAGUGAUAUAUAUCCAAAGGAGUUCAAGUCUGCUGUCAUUUCAAGAAAGCCUGACUGAUAAAAGCAACAGAGAAGCCCCGUGUAAGCGUAUACUACCUUACGGAAUGAUGUAAAGCAUUCACAAAACAAUGCCUUCAGAAGAACGGGAAUGUAUGCCGCAAGCCAGCAAUACCAGUUUUUUUCAUUUCAUAUGGGAGGGUACAGAUACUAGCGCAGUAAACUGAGGGUUAUAAAAUGUUUGGCCACAAAUAUUGCAAGUUUUAACCGCACAGCAGGAUUUAGCAGAAGAAAACUUUGACAGACAUCAAGAGUGAUCAGUGCAACGGGAGCAUCUGGAAAUAAAUCUAGCUGGAUAUAUUGGUUCAUCUGAAGUGAUCAUGCAAACACUUCUGUUUUAAGUAUACUCAGCUCUGUAUAGCCCUCAUCGCGAAUCAUAAACAGUACAGUACAAGUAUAACUGGGAUGAAUCAAACACAGUAACUUGAAAAAAAAAAGGUUCAGAAGGGGGUAGAGACAGAUGUACCACAGUAGUUGGCAUUUCCUCCGUAUGGCAAAUUGCCUGAAACAAAAGGAGCAAGAAGAUGCAGUCAGUGGACUACAAGGUACUGGUAUAUCAUAAUAAUUCAUCUCAGAGCGCACGCGGUGAAGAGCCGGACUCAUACCACGCCCAGAUUGGAGUGGCGCAGCCGCCGCAGCAGCGCCUCCGCCCCGGGACGCAGCGUGGGCACCGACGCGGCCUCCUGCGCCCCUGCACCGACGGGAUCGAGGAGGAGGGACGCAUCCAGCACCAGCCGCACAGGUCGCUCCAUGGCCAUGGCUGCGGGGUUCGGGUCUCUCUCUUCAGCUUUGGGUGUUGGGGCCGGACUUGGAGGAAGGAGAAGCUCCUGAGCGGUGGGGCCACGUGUGAGGAGGGCCAGGUGGGUCUUCCGGGCGCGUGGCAGACAGGUGGCGGGUCCUGGCGAAAUGCGGAAAGCACCUUCUGCUUUUAUUUUUUUUAUUUUCAUUCUUUAAUAAGGGUGAUAGUGGCUACUGGCUGGUGUUGCAGGGAAUCCGGUGCACUGUGUCGAGGAAAACGGACGUACCGCGUACGUCCUCAUUCUUUUUAAAAAUAUAUAUAAACGGCGGGCAUUUCAACAAAUCUGACAAACACCGAUACAAAUAAAUAUUAAAGACCCAAACAAAAAAUAAAUUUUACACCAUUGUCCCUAAAGUCUUUCUAUCUCCAUCUUUCUUUGUCACCCUCAUCAUUGAAGAAAUUGUCGUGAAAAUGGAGCGAAUGCAAAGACCACGUCAUAGACUUCAGCAAAAAUACAUGCCACAAGAUGCUAUAGGAACUGCAGUAGAAAUCUACUGCAAGAUGCAUGACAAGGCACAUGCUUGAAGAAUGUCGGCGAGGUUACUAAAGAUCUAUCGUAAAAAAACCGACGCGAAGGGAGAAGAACAACCAUCUUAGGCUAGAAGAAGAGAGGCACUCUUCCUUUUCAAAAGUCUUUGAUGGCAGACUUUUCGGCUUCAUUUGCAAUAUGAGGAGCACUCAAACAUCAUCCUCGAUCAAGUACUCCACAUAUGCAUAUCUUUUCUAAAAUCAAACUCCCACGGAUGAAACGCAGGGAGGUGAGGCCAGCGUGUAGAACAUAAGGGCAUCUUCAACGUGGACCUCUAAAUCGCACGCACCCGUCCGGACCAAGCGGAACAAACGUGAUUCGCGACCCAAAAACUACUUUGAUUACAUCAAAGAUUGCAGGCAUCGAGCUAGGAACUUCUUUGACAACGGAAGACACUUUAGGUCCACUAUGACAUGGUCU